rnacentral:rRNA from 1 species
UACGUAGGGCGCAAGCGUUGUCCGGAAUUAUUGGGCGUAAAGGGCUCGUAGGCGGUUUGUCGCGUCUGCUGUGAAAACUCGAGGCUCAACCUCGGGCUUGCAGUGGGUACGGGCAGACUAGAGUGCGGUAGGGGUGACUGGAAUUCCUGGUGUAGCGGUGGAAUGCGCAGAUAUCAGGAGGAACACCGAUGGCGAAGGCAGGUCACUGGGCCGCAACUGACGCUGAGGAGCGAAAGCAUGGGGAGCGAACAGG